rnacentral:rRNA from 1 species
UACAGAGGUCUCAAGCGUUGUUCGGAUUCAUUGGGCGUAAAGGGUGCGUAGGUGGCGGGGUAAGUCAGGUGUGAAAUCUCGGGGCUCAACCCCGAAACUGCACUUGAUACUGCCUUGCUAGAGUACUGGAGAGGAGAUUGGAAUUUACGGUGUAGCAGUGAAAUGCGUAGAUAUCGUAAGGAAGACCAGUGGCGAAGGCGAAUCUCUGGACAGUUACUGACACUGAGGAACGAAAGCCAGGGGAGCAAACGGG